AACGAACGCUGGCGGCAUGCCUAACACAUGCAAGUCGAACGGGAUCCAGGCUUCGGCCUGGUGAGAGUGGCGGACGGGUGAGUAACGCGUGGGAACCUGCCCAAUGGUCUGGGAUAACCGCGGGAAACUGCGGCUAAUACCGGAUAAGCCCGAGAGGGGAAAGAUUUAUCGCCGAUGGAGGGGCCCGCGUCAGAUUAGGUAGUUGGUGGGGUAAUGGCCUACCAAGCCUACGAUCUGUAGCUGGCUGAGAGGAUGAUCAGCCACACUGGGACUGAGAUACGGCCCAGACUCCUACGGGAGGCAGCAGUGGGGAAUCUUGCGCAAUGGGCGAAAGCCUGACGCAGCGACGCCGCGUGAGGGAUGACGGCC
rnacentral:rRNA from 1 species